rnacentral:rRNA from 1 species
UACGGAGGGUGCAAGCGUUAUCCGGAUUCACUGGGUUUAAAGGGUGUGUAGGCGGGUCUGUAAGUCAGUGGUGAAAUCUCCGAGCUCAACUGAGGAUCGUCGAUCGAUACUGCCGUUCUUGAGGAUUGCAGAGGAGAGUGGAAUUCCUGGUGUAGCGGUGAAAUGCGCAGAUAUCAGGAAGAACACCCGUGGCGAAGGCGGCUCUCUGGGACGGUACUGACGCUGAGACGCGAAAGCGUGGGGAGCGAACAGG